GACGAACGCUGGCGGCGUGCCUAAUACAUGCAAGUCGAGCGCAGGAAACUGACGGAACUCUUCGGAGGGAAGGCAGCGGAAUGAGCGGCGGACGGGUGAGUAACACGUAAGGAACCUGCCUCAAGGAUUGGGAUAACUCCGAGAAAUCGGAGCUAAUACCGGAUAGUUCAACGGACCGCAUGGUCCGCUGAUGAAAGGCGCGUCCGCGGCACCUAGCGAUGGCCUUGCGGUGCAUUAGCUAGUUGGUGGGGUAACGGCCCACCAAGGCGACGAUGCAUAGCCGACCUGAGAGGGUGAUCGGCCACACUGGGACUGAGACACGGCCCAGACUCCUACGGGAGGCAGCAGUAGGGAAUCUUCCACAAUGGACGAAAGUCUGAUGGAGCAACGCCGCGUGAGUGAUGAAGGUUUUCGGAUCGUAAAACUCUGUUGUAAGGGAAGAACACGUACGAGAGGAAAUGCUCGUACCUUGACGGCACCUUACGAGAAAGCCACGGCUAACUACGUGCCAGCCGCCGCCGUAAAAC
rnacentral:rRNA from 1 species